UCGGCUCAUCGCAUCCUGGGGCUGUAGUCGGUCCCAAGGGUUGGGCUGUUCGCCCAUUAAAGCGGUACGCGAGCUGGGUUCAGAACGUCGUGAGACAGUUCGGUCCCUAUCCGUCGUGGGCGUAGGAAAUUUGAGAGGAGCUGUCCUUAGUACGAGAGGACCGGGAUGGACAUACCUCUGGUGUACCAGUUGUCGUGCCAACGGCAUAGCUGGGUAGCUAUGUAUGGACGGGAUAAGUGCUGAAAGCAUCUAAGCAUGAAGCCCCCCUCAAGAUGAGAUUUCCCAACUUCGGUUAUAAGAUCCCUCAAAGAUGAUGAGGUUAAUAGGUUCGAGGUGGAAGCGUGGCGACACGUGGAGCUGACGAAUACUAAUCGAUCGAAGACUUAAUCAAUU
rnacentral:rRNA from 1 species